CAAUAGCGUAUAUUAAAGUUGUUGCAGUUAAAAAGCUCGUAGUUGAAUUUUUGCUUGCCGCCGAUGUCGGAACUUCCGUACGUUCGGCGGCGUGCAUCCUUGGGUGGAACCUGUGUGGCAUUAGGUUGUCGUGCAGGGGAUGCUCAUCGUUUACUGUGAAAAAAUUAGAGUGUUCAGAGCAGGCUUACGCCGUUGAAUAUAUUAGCAUGGAAUAAUAAGAUAGGACCUUGGUACUAUUUUGUUGGUUUGCGCACCGAGGUAAUGAUUAACAGGGACAGUUGGGGGUAUUCGUAUUCCAUUGUCAGAGGUGAAAUUCUUGGAUUUCUGGAAGACGAACUACUGCGAAAGCAUUUACCAAGGAUGUUUUCAUUAA
rnacentral:rRNA from 1 species